CUACGGGAGGCAGCAGUGGGGAAUUUUGCGCAAUGGGGGAAACCCUGACGCAGCGACGCCGCGUGGAGGAUGAAGGUCUUCGGAUUGUAAACUCCUUUUGUCGGGGAAGAUAAUGACGGUACCCGAUGAAUAAGCCACGGCUAACUCUGUGCCAGCAGCCGCGGUAAGACAGAGGUGGCAAGCGUUGUUCGGAAUUACUGGGCUUAAAGGGCGCGUAGGCGGUGGAGUAAGUCUGAGGUGGAAGAUUAGGGCUUAACCCUAAAAUUGCCUUGGAAACUGCAUCACUUGAGUCAGCGAGGGGAUGGCGGAAUUCCAGGUGUAGCGGUGAAAUGCGUAGAUAUCUGGAGGAAGGCCGGUGGCGAAGGCGGCCAUCUGGCGCUGAACUGACGCUGAGGCGCGAAAGCGUGGGGAGCAAACAGGAUUAGAUACCCUGGUAGU
rnacentral:rRNA from 1 species